rnacentral:antisense_RNA from 1 species
CUUCAACGACCCGAGCCACAACGGCUCGCUCCCGGCUCGCUCCUGACCGUACGUCGCCAGCAGCGCCUGCGCCUC